rnacentral:rRNA from 1 species
AGAGUUUGAUCCUGGCUCAGGACGAACGCUGGCGGCGCGCCUAACACAUGCAAGUCGAACGAGCGAGAGAGAGCUUGCUUUCUCGAGCGAGUGGCGAACGGGUGAGUAACGCGUGAGGAACCUGCCUCAAAGAGGGGGACAACAGUUGGAAACGACUGCUAAUACCGCAUAAGCCCACGGGUCGGCAUCGACCAGAGGGAAAAGGAGCAAUCCGCUUUGAGAUGGCCUCGCGUCCGAUUAGCUAGUUGGUGAGGUAAUGGCCCACCAAGGCAACGAUCGGUAGCCGGACUGAGAGGUUGAACGGCCACAUUGGGACUGAGACACGGCCCAGACUCCUACGGGAGGCAGCAGUGGGGAAUAUUGCACAAUGGGGGAAACCCUGAUGCAGCGACGCCGCGUGGAGGAAGAAGGUCUUCGGAUUGUAAACUCCUGUUGCUGGGGAAGAUAAUGACGGUACCCAACAAGGAAGUGACGGCUAACUACGUGCCAGCAGCCGCGGUAAAACGUAGGUCACAAGCGUUGUCCGGAAUUACUGGGUGUAAAGGGAGCGCAGGCGGGAAGACAAGUUGGAAGUGAAAUCUAUGGGCUCAACCCAUAAACUGCUUUCAAAACUGUUUUUCUUGAGUAGUGCAGAGGUAGGCGGAAUUCCCGGUGUAGCGGUGGAAUGCGUAGAUAUCGGGAGGAACACCAGUGGCGAAGGCGGCCUACUGGGCACCAACUGACGCUGAGGCUCGAAAGUGUGGGUAGCAAACAGGAUUAGAUACCCUGGUAGUCCACACCGUAAACGAUGAUUACUAGGUGUUGGAGGAUUGACCCCUUCAGUGCCGCAGUUAACACAAUAAGUAAUCCACCUGGGGAGUACGACCGCAAGGUUGAAACUCAAAGGAAUUGACGGGGGCCCGCACAAGCAGUGGAGUAUGUGGUUUAAUUCGACGCAACGCGAAGAACCUUACCAAGUCUUGACAUCCCUUGACAGGCAUAGAAAUAUGUUUUCUCUUCGGAGCAAGGAGACAGGUGGUGCAUGGUUGUCGUCAGCUCGUGUCGUGAGAUGUUGGGUUAAGUCCCGCAACGAGCGCAACCCUUAUGGUCAGUUACUACGCAAGAGGACUCUGGCCAGACUGCCGUUGACAAAACGGAGGAAGGUGGGGAUGACGUCAAAUCAUCAUGCCCUUUAUGACUUGGGCUACACACGUACUACAAUGGCGUUAAACAAAGAGAAGCAAGACCGCGAGGUGGAGCAAAACUCAGAAACAACGUCCCAGUUCGGACUGCAGGCUGCAACUCGCCUGCACGAAGUCGGAAUUGCUAGUAAUCGUGGAUCAGCAUGCCACGGUGAAUACGUUCCCGGGCCUUGUACACACCGCCCGUCA